rnacentral:rRNA from 1 species
AGGGAAUAUUGCGCAAUGGGCGGAAGCCUGACGCAGCGACGCCGCGUGAGCGAAGAAGGCCUUCGGGUCGUAAAGCUCUGUCCUUGGGGAAGAAGGCGAAAGCUUGACGGUACCCAAGAAGAAAGCCCCGGCUAACUACGUGCCAGCAGCCGCGGUAAUACGUAGGGGGCGAGCGUUGUCCGGAAUUACUGGGCGUAAAGGGUGCGUAGGCGGCCUUUUAAGUCAGAUGUGAAAGGCUGCGGCUUAACCGCAGGACUGCAUUUGAAACUGGAAGGCUUGAGUGUCGGAGAGGGUAGUGGAAAUCCCAGUGUAGCGGUGAAAUGCGUAGAUAUUGGGAGGAACACCAGUGGCGAAGGCGACUACCUGGACGAUAACUGACGCUGAGGCACGAAAGCUAGGGGAGCAAAC